AUUGAACGCUGGCGGCAGGCCUAACACAUGCAAGUCGAACGGUAACAGGAAGCAGCUUGCUGCUUCGCUGACGAGUGGCGGACGGGUGAGUAAUGUCUGGGAAACUGCCUGAUGGAGGGGGAUAACUACUGGAAACGGUAGCUAAUACCGCAUAACGUCGCGAGACCAAAGAGGGGGACCUUAGGGCCUCUUGCCAUCGGAUGUGCCCAGAUGGGAUUAGCUAGUAGGUGGGGUAACGGCUCACCUAGGCGACGAUCCCUAGCUGGUCUGAGAGGAUGACCAGCCACACUGGAACUGAGACACGGUCCAGACUCCUACGGGAGGCAGCAGUGGGGAAUAUUGCACAAUGGGCGCAAGCCUGAUGCAGCCAUGCCGCGUGUAUGAAGAAGGCCUUCGGGUUGUAAAGUACUUUCAGCGGGGAGGAAGGGAGUAAAGUUAAUACCUUUGCUCAUUGACGUUACCCGCAGAAGAAGCACCGGCUAACUCCGUG
rnacentral:rRNA from 1 species